rfam:Pan troglodytes isolate Yerkes chimp pedigree #C0471 (Clint) chromosome 9, whole genome shotgun sequence.
UGCCAACUGGGUGUCCACACUAAGUUCGGCAUCAAUAUGGUGACUUCCUGGGAGCAGGGCACUACCAGCUUACCUAAGGAUGGGUGAACUGGCCCAGGUCAGAAAUGAAGCAGGUCAGAACUCCCAUGCUGAUCGGUAGUGGGACUGCACCUAGGCA